rnacentral:rRNA from 1 species
GAGGGUGAUGCCUGCCCAAUGGUUGUAUCUAAAAGCGGUUGAUAAAAGUUGACCUCGUAAGGACAAUUGAAUGGCCGCGGUAACACUGACCGUGAUAAUGUAGCGUAAUCAAUAGCCAAUUAAUUGUUGGCCAGUAUGAAUGGCGCCACGAAGGCCCCACUGUCUUAAGGAAAUUCCCAGUGAAAUUGAAUUCGUAGUGAAGAUGCUACGUCCAAUUUGUUAGACGAAAAGACCCCGUUGAGCUUUACUGGAGCACUUACAUGGCCCCGGCCUUCCCAUGCCUGGGAACCGGCCGAAUUUAAAUGGGCGGCUUAGAUUAUGUGGCAGCCCCCCGCUGGGGCAAAUGAAACACCACUCCCCCAUGUCAAAGGGGCUAACCCCCCCCCUUGGGGGGACAGUGUAAGUAGGACAGUUUGGUUGGGGCGACCACCUUUUAAAAAGUAACGAAGGUGCGCUUAAGGUGCGCAAUUAAUGACUGAAGCCUGACUGCGAGGGGGACACCCCGAGCAGACACCCCAAAGCCCGCCCGAAAGCGGCGGGUGGGGUGG